rnacentral:rRNA from 1 species
UACGAAGGGGGCUAGCGUUGCUCGGAAUCACUGGGCGUAAAGGGUGCGUAGGCGGGUCUUUAAGUCAGGGGUGAAAUCCUGGAGCUCAACUCCAGAACUGCCUUUGAUACUGAAGAUCUUGAGUUCGGGGAGAGGUGAGUGGAACUGCGAGUGUAGAGGUGAAAUUCGUAGAUAUUCGCAAGAACACCAGUGGCGAAGGCGGCUCACUGGCCCGAUACUGACGCUGAGGCACGAAAGCGUGGGGAGCAACAGGG